rnacentral:rRNA from 1 species
GGUACCUCUUUUUUUAAGUCUGAUGUGAAAGCCUUCGGCUUAACCGGAGAAGUGCAUCGGAAACUGGGAGACUUGAGUGCAGAAGAGGACAGUGGAACUCCAUGUGUAGCGGUGGAAUGCGUAGAUAUAUGGAAGAACACCAGUGGCGAAGGCGGCUGUCUAGUCUGUAACUGACGCUGAGGCUCGAAAGCAUGGGUAGCGAACAGGAUUAGAUACCCUGGUAGUCCAUGCCGUAAACGAUGAGUGCUAAGUGUUGGAGGGUUUCCGCCCUUCAGUGCUGCAGCUAACGCAUUAAGCACUCCGCCUGGGGAGUACGACCGCAAGGUUGAAACUCAAAGGAAUUGACGGGGGCCCGCACAAGCGGUGGAGCAUGUGGUUUAAUUCGAAGCUACGCGAAGAACCUUACCAGGUCUUGACAUCUUCUGCCAAUCUUAGAGAUAAGACGUUCCCUUCGGGGACAGAAUGACAGGUGGUGCAUGGUUGUCGUCAGCUCGUGUCGUGAGAUGUUGGGUUAAGUCCCGCAACGAGCGCAACCCUUAUUAUCAGUUGCCAGCAUUCAGUUGGGCACUCUGGUGAGACUGCCGGUGACAAACCGGAGGAAGGUGGGGAUGACGUCAAAUCAUCAUGCCCCUUAUGACCUGGGCUACACACGUGCUACAAUGGACGGUACAACGAGUGGCGAAGUCGUGAGGCUAAGCUAAUCUCUUAAAGCCGUUCUCAGUUCGGAUUGUAGGCUGCAACUCGCCUACAUG